rnacentral:rRNA from 1 species
AUGGAGCAGGUGUCUCCUCUGCCGCGGGUGACGCCUCCAGUGCCCGAGCCUGUGGUCACUGGCGACGUCAACAAAGACAAUGUAGCUCCUCUGGCUCCUCUGCCGAAGCAGGUGGUGGGUCCUCAGCCUCAGCCGGGUGUCCGUCUGCCGCGGUUGUUGCCUCCCCUGCCCCCACCUGUGGUCGUCGCCGACAAGAACGAAGAAGAGGUCCUAAGUGACGACGUCGACAGCGACCAAGAAACCCAGAGGAUCUACAGGAGGCAGAAGGCGAGGGAGCUGAACAGUGGUGUGCUCGAGAAACGUAUCAGGCCAAGAAUCGGAAGGGGGGCUACAGAUGCCCUUACUGCAACAAGCUGA